rnacentral:lncRNA from 1 species
UCUGUUUUCUUCAGGGUGCCAGUCAGUCCCGUGGGCCUGCUGCCUCCACCGCCCUGUGACCGCUCAAGUGUCACUGGAGUGGGCAGGGAGGAGGGAGGCUGGACUGGGAGUAGGGGCCGGGAGGAGCUGGGCUGCUGCGUGCCCCCGCGCCUGCCCACUCCCGAAGUCCUGCACACACUCCCGGGUGGGUCUCGGCCGCUCCGAGUGUGUGAGUGGCCCGCAGUAGUGAGUUCGGAGACCGAGGAAGGAGGAGCGCCGGACGCUCCCGGCCGCGGCGCAGCUGCUGUCGCUGCCGCAGCUGUCCAGGGAGGAUCGCCAAGGAAGGCGACGAGUAAACAGCUUACCUUGGGGAGGCAGCUCUGCCUGAGCUAGGUGGACGGGGAUUACUGAUGGUGGGGUGGUUAGGACGCGUGCACAACUUCACGGGAAGAAACGAAAGUGUGUUUGGGGCGCUGCGGGACGCGGUGGCUGGCUGGCUAGCUAUCCAAGGUGGAUGGGAACAGACUGGAGCCUAUGCGACCCUGGCUGUGCUCAGUGACCCUGGAUGCCCUAGGAGAUAAGAGGAGUCAGAAAGACUCGGGAGAGGUCGCCUUUUCCCUGUUCACAGGAGCUAGCAGUCACUGGUGGCGAUAGGUGACACUAAAUUUCUUCCUGUUCCUUCCAGUCAGUCACUCAGUGAUCAAGAUGCAUGUAGGGCCUUGGCUUGUUGCAGUUUCUCACAAGUCCCUCAUAAGAAGGAAAAUAAGGGACCGUGUAUGAAAUGCUCUUCAAAAUAUCUUCUGCCUCCUGAGUUCCAGGACAGCUAGAGCUAUACCGAGAAACCCUGCCUCGAAAAAACAAACAAACAAACAAACAAAAUAUCUUCUGGGCACAGCCCUCCCCCUGGCCUACCACAACCCCAAGGACCAGCAAGGAAAUUAUGAAGAGAGCUGAAUAAAUUUCUCACCCUUGUCCUUCCUGUUUUAUUUUCAAAUUCCUUCAGUAUCAGGGUUUUCGUAUUUCCUGAAUUGGACUGUAAGCUUAAUAAAGGGCCUACAAAAAGGUGUGGGAAGCUGCUGGAGGCACACUCCAUUAGUCCCAGCAUCUGGGAGGCAGAGGCAGGAGGAGCUCUGUAAGUUCCAGGCCAGUCUGGUCUACAGACUGAGUCCCAGGACAGCCAGGACUGUCUUGGGAGGGGGCGGGGGGGGGAGUUUAGGAAGCUAGGAGAUGGAGCCAGGAGAACUGAUCUGGCCACAGGGAUUAGAUGAAACUCAAGUCCAAAAAAA